rnacentral:rRNA from 1 species
GACGAACGCUGGCGGCGUGCUUAACACAUGCAAGUCGAACGGAAAGACCCUGCUUUUGUGGGGUGCUCGAUUGCCGAACGCGUGAGUAACACGUGAGUAACCUGCCCUUGACAUUGGGAUAACUUCAGGAAACACGGGCUCAUACCGCAUAGGAGCUCCUGCUGCAUGGUGUGGGAUGGUGAGUUUCGGCGGUUGGGGAUGGACUCGCGGCUUAUCAGCUUGAUGGUGGGGUAGUGGCUUACCAAGGGUUUGACGGGUAGCCGGCCUGAGAGGGUGACCGGCGACCUGGGGACUGAGAUACGGCGCAGACUCCUACGGGAGGCAGCAGUGGGGAAUAUUGCACAAUGGGCGGAAGCCAGAUGCAGCAACGCCGCGUGCGGGAUGACGGCCUUCGGGUUGUAAACCGCUGUCGCAUGUGACGAGGAGUGAGUGACGGUAAUGGGUAAAGAAGCAACGGCUAACUACGUG